CGGACGGGUGAGUAACGCGUGGGCAACCUGCCCUGUACAGGGGGACAACACUUAGAAAUAGGUGCUAAUACCGCAUGAGCGCACAGGACCGCAUGGUCGAGUGUGAAAAACUGAGGUGGUGUAAGAUGGACCCGCGUCUGAUUAGCUAGUUGGUGAGGUAACGGCCCACCAAGGCGACGAUCAGUAGCCGGCCUGAGAGGGUGGACGGCCACAUUGGGACUGAGACACGGCCCAAACUCCUACGGGAGGCAGCAG
rnacentral:rRNA from 1 species